UUCUAUCAAUGAUUUUCUUCCUGUAUAGUGUGGUGUAGUCUACAAAGCACAAUUGCCAUCAUUCCUGAUCACUUCAUCCUGACCCAACGAUUCAACAUUAAACAGGAGCUUCUGGCUCUAUAAAACCUCUACCACUCUUGGGCCCUAUCGAACCAGUGACAUGCACACAGCCUGUAUGCCUGGAUCUUAAUCAUCAUUUACCUUUGCCUUUCCUCUACAUCCCUGCGGCUGGAGUGCACCUGCUCCUCCAUCUCGGGAAUGAGCACCAGUUAGUGAUGAGGUGAGGGUACUCUACUAUAGCCUCCAGUGCAUGCAUAAAUCGGCUGUAUAAUUGUUGCCCUACCAACAAUGGAAUCCUAAUAUAAUGUAAUAAAAACAUAUAUAAUAUAAUACAUAUCGUUAAGUUCGACAAUAGAUACAAUCUCUGCUCGCAUCAUUCUGUAUCCCUCAACAGAAAACCACUUCUGUAACCAGCACGACACAUCAUCUUGCAAAAUUGCUUCAUUUUUAGCUCGUGGCACUUCAAACUUUGAAAGAAUAAACUCAUGAACACACAUUGAUACAUUGUUGCAUUGAUGAAGCUCAAACUUACAUCUAUAGUAGGCUACUUUUCAAAGUAACAACGAAACCCCCAGUUAGAAUUGCAUCACGAGCAGGUUUCCCUUCCGAAUCCCGGACCAACAAUUUUACUUGCAGCUUUUACUUUUAAUGAUUUGCUGACGGUUUAACGAUCUCGUUUUUAAAUCUUCAGUGUACUGUAUGUUUUUCUUUUUGUUGUGGGAGCAUGAGGGAGAUCACUCAAGCAGUACCCCAGUGUACAACCGUGUUAUACAACUCUCUUCACUAACAAAAUCUCCCAGGGUCGGCCCUAGAUUUUGGGGGCCCUAAACACAAAACAUUUUUGUGGCUCCCCCUCUUAACAGCAGAGAUAAACAUUUACAUUUUACAUUUAAUUUCCUGAAAUUCUACACAUUUUGCCAAGAGGCAGAGAUUUUUUUUAAAUCUACAAUUUUACAGCUAAUUUCCUGCAAAUCUACCCAUUUUGCCAUGGGGUGGAGAGACAUUUUUGCACGUUUAAAGCUCAUUCCAUGCAAGUCUACACAUUUUGCCAAGACUUACAUCCAUGUUAAUGAUACCUGAGUGAGAGUGACUAACAAAAUCAACUGACUAAUUUACCAAACAAAGAAUUGUUAGCUGAAAUGGCUAAUUGAGUGACUGUCAGUGACUGACAAUACCAGUGUUUUCCACUUCAUAUUAACUAUGCUACUUUUCAUUUUCAAUUAGCUACUCUGUCGAGCCCUCUCCCACUAUAAUGAACAAUAUGCAUCUUCUAGCAAUCUAUUGAUAGGAUAGGCGCCUGUCAGUCACAAAGCGAGCAGAGAGGAAGAGGCGAAGCGAGAUGUUUCACUCUCGCCAAAAUCUGUCCAAAAUAAGACCAAUGUGUUUCCAUUGGCUUAUUUUGGACCUAAGCUUGUCUCCUGUCUUCCCACUUUUAGGACGACUCCCAUUGAGACAUGAACAUCUCAUCCUUAUAUACAGGUUUUUUUUUUUUUUGUUUGCAGUCAAAUUUCUUUACGCGGAAGAGAGCAUGAUGCUCGUGAUUUUGCACAUCCCAUGUAAUGUAACUGGUAACAAUGACUAGCACGCGGUGAAUUGUUGCGUGAGUGGGUCGCUUGAGGGUGCUGGCAGCAUAUGGCAGCAGUUCGAUUGUGCGUCAAGAAUUCAGCCUUGCAAGUUUGUGUGAAUGUCUGGUUAUUAAAUGGAUACAGAGAGCUGUGAAAGCCUGUCUGCAGAUGAAGAGGUCCCAAUGAAGAGCAGUGGUUCUCAGUCCUGGUUCUGGGAACUGGACCUGUUUUUGCCUUAGCUCUGAUUCAAAUGAUCAAGUCAUCAAGCUUCAAGUGAUAUCUUGUAACUGGAGAUUCCUUCAAAAUGAUUGCCUACAGUUACCGUGUAGGGCACUGCAAGGUUGGGUGACCAGAGCCAUCUGGGACUGCCUCCUGGAGGAAUUCAGGCGUUUGAAGGCUACCUGUGUCGUGCAUAACUUCAUGAGGAUGGACACGAGUACCAGGAGGGGGAUCUGCAGCUCGCCACCGUGUGCCAGAGGAGAGGUCUGCUGCUCUACAGUAUGUUUUGAUGUGAGAGAGGAUGCCACCCCCAGUCCCGUCAUCACCCGCUCUUAAGAUAACCUUAAGGACAACUGGGGACCCAAAGCUGGUUAGGAGACACCACUAGAGACACUUAUGUACUUGUGAAGAACUGAGACAAUAUUAGGGUAGCACUGUAAUUCAUUAAACAUAUGCUGUCUUCCCUGCUCCUCAAUUCUUCUUUCCCCUUCUGUCUUUUACACUCUCUCACUUUUUCUCGUACUAUUGUUUGUACAGAUGAACGUGGUACCUUCAGGCAUUUGGAAAUUGCUCCCAAGGAUGAACCAGAUUUUUUUUUCUGAGGUCUUGGCUGAUUUCUUUUGAUUUUCCCAUGAUGUCAAGCAAAGAGGCACUGAGUUUGAAGGCUACAAUGUGAGGAUCUGUCACACCAGCCUUCGCUUUGGCUCCCCCUCCUGUCCAGCUCAGGCAUUCGGCGUCGCCGGCCUUCUAGCUCCUCCCGAACCUGCUGCUGGCAAAUGCCCUUCACUCAUCAACCCCGGACUUGUCUCGUCAUCAUUACACACACCUGGUUCCAAUCCCCACUCUAUACAUACUCACUCUGUCAUUUGUCUUUUGUCGGCAUUGUAAAUGUUGCUUAUUUUCCUUGAGUGGAAUCUCUCCUAUUUCCUGAGUACUUUAUUAUUUAGUACUUUGGGUUUCGUCCCGCUUUUAGAAUUAUAGUGCUUUAAUAAACUCAGUAGUUCUAAACCUG